CCUACGGGAGGCAGCAGUGAGGAAUAUUGGUCAAUGGACGAGAGUCUGAACCAGCCAAGUAGCGUGAAGGAUGACUGCCCUAUGGGUUGUAAACUUCUUUUAUAAAGGGAUAAAACGAGGCACGUGUGCCUUUUUGCAUGUACUUUAUGAAUAAGGAUCGGCUAACUCCGUGCCAGCAGCCGCGGUAAUACGGAGGAUCCGAGCGUUAUCCGGAUUUAUUGGGUUUAAAGGGAGCGUAGAUGGUUUGUUAAGUCAGUUGUGAAAGUUUGCGGCUCAACCGUAAAAUUGCAAUUGAUACUGGUAGUCUUGAGUACAGUUGAGGUAGGCGGAAUGCGUGGUGUAGCGGUGAAAUGCUUAGAGAUCACGAAGAACCCCGAUUGCGAAGGCAGCUUACUAAACUGCGACUGACAUUGAUGCUCGAAAGUGUGGGUAUCAAACAGGAUUAGAUACCCCAGUAGUC
rnacentral:rRNA from 1 species